UUUUUUUUUUUUUUAUUAAUGUCUAAUGUUGAAUAGUUUGAUAAUUGAAUCUUUGUUUCUAAUGUUUUCUAAUAAUGUUAUUUCCUUUAAAAAAUUUUAUAUAUAAAUUCUGUAUAACUUUAUCUCGAUCAUUGACCCCCAAGAAAUAUCCUAUUUACGUACACUGAAAUUGUAUUCGUAUAAGAUCAAUUUGGGGGGAGGUGUAAUUCUUUUCCUCUAUUUUUUUUUUUUUUCGUUUUUUUUCUUUUCUUUUUUUUUUUUUUUUUUUUUUUUUUUUUUUUUUUUUUUUUUUUUAUUAAUUAAAUUUUUUUUUAAAUAUAAAGUAUAUU
rnacentral:misc_RNA from 1 species